UGUGUACGGCGCGCGUGGAGAGGGGUCAACUCCGAGACGUGCGGCGCUCGGAGACUUGCUGGAGGCGUCGGGGCUGUUGCUGGUGGCUUGCUGCGGCGCUCCUUGCUGCUAAUGUUUUUUUUUUUGGCUGAGUUUUGGGUUAAUGUUUAGGUCUUGGGUUGGGGUCAAUUGGGUAUUGGGUUUUAAUUUUAUUGGGCCUGCUAUUGUAUUUUAUUAUUGGUAGGGCCGGGCAAAUAAUUGGUAUUUCAUAAUGAUUGUUUUUUUUUAGGUUUUAGUGUUGAUUUAAUUAAAGUUAAUUGUUAAUAUUACUGGGUAAUUAUGAGUUUUCAUCAAAUUAAUCCUAAAACUCAAACUAAAUACUAAAAUGUUAACAUUGUCACUUUUAAAUAUCAAAAUAUAUAAAUUUUAUUAAAUAUAGAUGCCAAAU
rnacentral:lncRNA from 1 species